AGGGCUUAAAGUUAAAAAAAAAACUAUCAACCUUCAAAGUUGCAAUAAAGCUUACUUUAAGCCCUA
rnacentral:tRNA from 1 species